GACGAACGCUGGCGGCGUGCUUAACACAUGCAAGUCGAACGGAAAGGCCCUGCUUGCAGGGUACUCGAGUGGCGAACGGGUGAGUAACACGUGGGUGAUCUGCCCUGCACUUCGGGAUAAGCCUGGGAAACUGGGUCUAAUACCGGAUAGGAGCCAUUUUUAGUGUGGUGGUUGGAAAGUUUUUUCGGUGUAGGAUGAGCUCGCGGCCUAUCAGCUUGUUGGUGGGGUAAUGGCCUACCAAGGCGGCGACGGGUAGCCGGCCUGAGAGGGUGGACGGCCACAUUGGGACUUAGAUACGGCCCAGACUCCUACGGGAGGCAGCAGGGGGGAAUAUUGCACAAGGGGCGCAAGCCUGAUGCAGCGACGCCGCGUGGGGGAUGACGGCCUUCGGGUUGUAAACGCCUUUCGCUAGGGACGAAGCUUUUUGUGACGGUACCUAGAUAAGAAGCACCGGCUAACUACGUG
rnacentral:rRNA from 1 species